UCUUUAAUGGAGAGUUUGAUCCUGGCUCAGGACGAACGCUGGCGGCGUGCCUAAUACAUGCAAGUCGAGCGGGGUUAGUUAGAAGCUUGCUUCUAACUAACCUAGCGGCGGACGGGUGAGUAACACG
rnacentral:rRNA from 1 species